rnacentral:lncRNA from 1 species
UGUUACAGAGAUGAUACUUGGCUUUAUAGCCAAUUUUACAUGCUAUUUUAGUCUUCUUUUUUCUUUUUCUCUGUUUGCCACUGUGCUUUGCGUGAUUUUCUUCUUUGCAGGCAAGUGGGGUGAUGGGCGAGCGGCGCGAGUCAGAGGGUAGGUGGCUGAGAUGAUUGACGGCGGCGGCAGAUACAGAAGGCCCUAGGUGCGGCGCACCUAGGGUUAGGGUUUCUUUUUUUUAUUUGUGUUUUGGGUAAUGGGUUUUGUAAUUGGGCUUGGGUAGGUUUUAAAUUUUUGGGCCUGUUAUUUGGUGAGGCCCGGGUAAAUUUGGGCUGUACAGCUGC